AAAGAUAAAAGAUAAUACAAAAAUUGCAAACCCUAAUUCAACUAUCUCCCCUCUUUCUCGGCCUCUCAAGCCUCUUUCGCAUGAAUCUCAGUAUGAAAUUGAUAUUGCAAAGCUAACGGCAGUGCUGUAAAUAUUCCUCAACCAGUGAUUCCCAUCUUCAAAGGCGAAUGCUUUGAAUUUUGGAGCAAGACAUUUUUUACGUCUCAACAUCUGUGAAAUUUGGUGGAGGAAUAACAGAUGGUGCCUUCCAGACCCAAUAGAUGAUACUACUCUCCAAGCUUGGGAGUAUCUGGAAAAUUUCUGCAAAGUUAAUCCAAAUGAAGCUGAUAAAGUUACUUGGAAAUCUCAAAAGAAUGGUGUGUUCACUGUUAAUAGUGCCUGGAAGAAUAUGACUACUAAUCAGGAUAGGGUCCCUUGGCAUUCAAUUGUCUGGUUCCCUGGUCAAAUCCCUAGACACUCUUUUGUUACAUGGCUUGCUCUUCUGGGUAGAUUAAACACAAAAGACAAGCUAAUAAAGUGGGGAGUUAUCAAUAGCAAUGUCUGUUCCUUAUGUAAUCAGAAAGCUGAGGAUAUUGAGCACCUUUUCUUUGACUGCUGUUUCUCCGCUCAUAUCUGGGACAAAGUUUUGAGGAGUAAUGAUGAGUCUAGACAGAAGUUUUGUUGGAGAAGAGAGGUUAGCUACCUUUGCAGAAGAGCUAAGGGCAAGUCUGCAAAAGCUAAACUCAGAAAGCUUUGGUUCAAUGCAACAGUCUAUCACAUUUGGGUAGCUAGAAACAACAUCAUUUUUAAUCAGGGGACCAUUGAUGCAGAUAAGAUCUUUUCUAAGAUUGAGUUUGAUGUAAAGAAUAGAGCCUCUUAGUUUUUCCUUUGCUGCUCUGUGGUGUGUUAGUUCCCCGGCCUCUAGAGGUUGAGCUUUUUUGGCUUGCUGUCCAGCCUAGCAAGCUUGGUUCUCUUUCUGUUUUCCAUUCUCUGGAUGGUGUAUCCCUGGCCUCUUUUUAGCAAUAAAUUUUGCUUCUUUUGGUGAUUGACCAAAAAAAAUUUUUUGGUGGAGAAUGGCUAUGCUGAUCCAGAGAAGUGACGAGGCUGAAAGAGAAUAAAAAGAGACACCAAAGAAUUCUUUCUUCAGCAAGCAGUUUUUUUCAAAAAUCGCAGCAGCGGAGACAGCCAAAGAAGCAUGGAUGACUGUGCAGACAGCAAUUCAGGGCUCCUCAAAAGUAAUCACGGUGCAACUGCCCAAAGAAGCAUGGAUGACUGUGCAGACAGCGUUUCAGGAAUUGAUUUGUUACUAUACAUUUGGAGCCCGACUGCUAAUAAGAAUAAAUUGGUUUCAAAUUUUAGAUAAUUAUUAACAACCAAGAUAGAAUUAGCUUCAAGUUGAAUUUGCAGUCUGGUUUUGCGGACAGGUAAUUGAUAUUCUUUGCUGUGAAAUUGCACUCCGAUGCAACAUUUCUUAUAUCUUCUGCUGCUGCAUCAUGUUUUAUCAAUUUAUUAACUUUAAAUAUCAGGGUUGCAUUUCUAUAUCAGUUCAAUUGCUGAUGCGAGCAAUGGAAGCUUUUUAGUUGUCAUGUCCAAAGGCUAGUACCUGUUUGUAUAACUAGUCAGAGAGCUUGCAUAUUCUAUCUCUCCAUAAUAUCUAGGAUGCAUGAUUUGAAAAUGGAGGUAGUUUUUGAGUUACAUCUCACCAGUAUUGAUUCUUUGUCAUUUAGUAGUUCUCGUGUGGUCAUGUGAAUUAGAUAUUUUUUCAAAGGAUAGUAUUUUUAAGUAUGCAGGAUCUCCUAACACUCGGCAAUUCUACAAAGUGAGUGCAUCUUUUCCUUAUAAAUGGAUAAACAAGAAGUGGAAAGAAGGGUUUCAUGUCACUUCCAUCACAACUGCCGCUAUUCAAUCAAAACCAUUAGUUGGUGAGGCAUGGAAGAGAAGAGGACAAGCUCGAGCUGCCUUAGGGGAAUCUGUAGAGGUGAGAAUAGUUUCAACUAUUCAUCACAUCUUGGAGUUUUAUUACCCAAAUGAAAAAUUUAUUACUAUCCGCUUGGCUACUUUAAUACAGAAUAAUGGGAGAUAAUCAAGAAGAAAACUUAUCAAAAAAGAAAGACCCGGGCUGGAAAUAUUGUUUUUUGGCAGACAAAAACAAUAGUAAUAAGGUUACAUGUAAAUUUUGUGGCAAGAUAACAACUGGAGGUAUUUCUAGAGGCAAACAACACUUGAUUGGGAACCACAGAAACUCUACAAAGUGUCCUAAAUGUCCUCCGGAAGUGAAAAAGGAAUUGCUAGAAUAUAAUACUGCAAAAGCAAGAAUCAAGAAAGACUAUAUUUAAUUUUAUAUUGUGCAAGUUGUCACCGACAAUGGAAGUAAUUACGUUUCAGCUGCAAAAUUUUUGAUGGAGAAGAGAUCCAAUCUGUUUUGGACUCCAUGUGCAGCCCAUUGCCUAGAUUUGAUGUUAGAAGACAUUGGCAAGAUUGACAAGAUUAAAAAAACACUUAGAAAAGCUAUCAAUCUAGUUGGUUUCAUAUACAACCAUGGUGGUGUCUUGAAUAUGAUGAGGAAUUGCACUAACAAUAAAGAGCUUGCAAGGCAUGGAGUUACUCAUUUUGCCACAUGUUUUCUGACAUUGCAAAGUGUACAUAAUCAGAAGCAAGCCUUGCGAAGCAUGUUCACAUCAAUUGAAUGGACACAAAGCAAAUGGGCCAAAGAGGAAAAGGGUAAGAGCAUCUGUCUGCAUGUGUGAAGCUUGAUGACACUAUACAAAAUGUAAUUUUCUGGCGCAUUAUCUUUGUUAUGCUGACCUGCUGAAAAAAAUGAUUUUGAAACUGCUAUUGCUCAUUAUUCUAAAGCAAUAGAGCUUGAUGAGGAGGAUAUGUGAUGCAGCAUCAUAGUACCUUCACCGCCAAGCAACUAUUUUCAUAUUUCAGUUUUUAUUAGUUUUCCUUUUCCAAUUAUAAUUUCCUAUUAUUAGAUUUCCUAUUGUUAAAGGAGUUAGGAUAUUAUCAAACCUCCUCUUAAGUCCUAUAUAAGGCAUUAUAGGUUAGCUUUUAGUUGUCAGUUUGUUUUUAAAAGAUAAUAAACUAGAGUUUUUCUCUAAAGCCUUGCAUUGAUGAAACCCUCACUGUGGAGAAGAAAGGAAAUAAUGAAACCCUUUGUUUAGUUUUUAGGUUUUUCUUUUAAUGAUUUGUUGGAUAGAGGUUUAAUCAACGGUGUGGAUUGGUUUGUUAAGAGAGAUUAGUAAAGUAGAUUUCCCUUCACUUUUUAAUUCUUUUUCUCCAUAAAUUAUAACAAUAGUAUCUUUUAAAAUUAAUAAAAGAAAAUUCUUUUCAUUUUUA